UGCUGGGCCAAAUGGAAUUUCUAUUUCUAGAUCCUUGAGGAAUUGCCACACUGUCUUCCAUAAUGGUUGAACUAAUUUACACUUCCACCAACAGUGUAAAAGCGUUUCUAUUUCUCCACCUCCUCUCUAGCAUUUGUUGUCACCUGAUUUUUUAAUGACUGCCAUUCUAACUGGCAUGAGGUGGUAUCUCAAUGUGGUUUUGAUUUGCAUUUCUCUAAUGACCAGUGAUGAUGAGCUUUUUUUCCUAUGUUUAUUGGCCUCAUAUAUAUCUUCUUUUGAAAAGUGUCUGUCCAUAUCCUUUGCCUACUUUUGAAUGAGUUUGUUUUUUUCUUGUAAAUCUGUUUUAGUUCUUUGUAGACUCUGAAUAUUAACCCUUUGUCAGAUGGGUAGAUUGCAAACAUUUUUCACAUUCUGUUGGUUACCAGUUCACUCUAAUGAUUGUUUCUUUUGCUGUACAGAAACUCUGGAGUUUAAUUAGAUCCCAUUUGUCUAUUUUGGCUUUUGUUGCCAAUGUUUUGGUGUUUUGGUGAAGAGGUCCUUGCCUAUGCCUGUUCUGAGGAAUAACAAAUUUCCAUCACAUUAUAAUAAGCGUGGUUCAUCAAAAAAGGAAAAGAAAAAACAACGCACUGAGAUUACCCAGCAGCACUUCCCUAGCCUACAAAAUAUUUACCAAAGCAUCAUGCAUGGCAGAUUCAUCCCUGGAACAAACACACCAGUGCUGGAACUGCUGAUUAGAAUGCCUGACUUACCUGGCAAAUGUCUGCUCUUCCAUCCAGAAGUCCAGAGUAAGCAUUACCUUUCUAAAAAAAGCCUUUCCUAACUUUCUACAUCCUUUCCUUAACAGCCUAAAUACUUCACUGAAUAAAACAUUAUCACACUGUCAAUGUUAUAAUUUCUAUUAUGACAUAAUUUGUUUUAUUGUUUUUUGUCUUUUUGUGUGCGUGACAGAGUCUUGAUCUGUUGCCAGGCUGGAGCACAGUGGUGCAAUCUUGGCUCACUGCAACCUCUGCCUCCCGGGUUCAAGCAAUUCUUCCACCUCAGCCUCCCAAGUAGCUGGGACUACAGGCAUGUGCCAAACGCUCAGCUAAUUUUUGUAUUUUUAGUAGAGACGGGUUUCACCAUGUUGGCCAGGAUGGUCUCGAUCUCUUGACCUCGUGAUCUGCCCGCCUUGGCCUCCCAAAGUGCUGGGAUUACAGGUGUGAGCAUAAUUUGUCUUUUUAAAAAUCUUCCUAUCCUGCUUGAUUAUGGUUUUAUAAAGAAUGAAAAGAGAGCCAUCUUAUUAAGUGCUUGAUCCUUAAUACUUAAGUUUUGGCACUUAAAAAAUAUGAAUGAAUAAA
rnacentral:lncRNA from 1 species